UGAGGAAUAUUGGUCAAUGGACGAGAGUCUGAACCAGCCAAGUAGCGUGCAGGAUGACGGCCCUAUGGGUUGUAAACUGCUUUUAUAGGGGGAUAAAGUGUGCCACGUGUGGCAUAUUGCAGGUACCCUAUGAAUAAGGACCGGCUAAUUCCGUGCCAGCAGCCGCGGUAAUACGGAAGGUCCGGGCGUUAUCCGGAUUUAUUGGGUUUAAAGGGAGCGUAGGCCGUUUGGUAAGCGUGUUGUGAAAUGUCGGGGCUCAACCUGGGCAUUGCAGCGCGAACUGCCAGACUUGAGUGCGCAGGAAGUAGGCGGAAUUCGUCGUGUAGCGGUGAAAUGCUUAGAUAUGACGAAGAACUCCGAUUGCGAAGGCAGCCUGCUGUAGCGCAACUGACGCUGAAGCUCGAAAGCGUGGGUAUCGAACAGG
rnacentral:rRNA from 1 species